rnacentral:rRNA from 1 species
AGUGAACGCUGGCGGUAGGCCUAACACAUGCAAGUCGAACGGCAGCACAGGAGAGCUUGCUCUCUGGGUGGCGAGUGGCGGACGGGUGAGGAAUACAUCGGAAUCUGCCCAGUCGUGGGGGAUAACGUAGGGAAACUUACGCUAAUACCGCAUACGACCUUCGGGUGAAAGAGGGGGAUCGCAAGACCUCUCGCGAUUGGAUGAGCCGAUGUCGGAUUAGCUAGUUGGCGGGGUAAUGGCCCACCAAGGCGACGAUCCGUAGCUGGUCUGAGAGGAUGAUCAGCCACACUGGAACUGAGACACGGUCCAGACUCCUACGGGAGGCAGCAGUGGGGAAUAUUGGACAAUGGGCGCAAGCCUGAUCCAGCCAUACCGCGUGGGUGAAGAAGGCCUUCGGGUUGUAAAGCCCUUUUGUUGGGAAAGAAAUCUUUCAGGCUAAUACCCUGGGAGGAUGACGGCACCCAAAGAAUAAGCACCGGCUAACUUCGUG